rnacentral:rRNA from 1 species
UACCAGCACCCCGAGUGGUCGGGACGUUUAUUGGGCCUAAAGCAUCCGUAGCCGGUUCUACAAGUCUUCCGUUAAAUCCAGCUGCUUAACAGAUGGGCUGCGGAAGAUACUAUGGAGCUAGGAGGCGGGAGAGGCAAGCGGUACUCGAUGGGUAGGGGUAAAAUCCGUUGAUCCAUUGAAGACCACCAGUGGCGAAGGCGGCUUGCCAGAACGCGCUCGACGGUGAGGGAUGAAAGCUGGGGGGAGCAAACCGG